rnacentral:rRNA from 1 species
UACGUAGGGUGCAAGCGUUAAUCGGAAUUACUGGGCGUAAAGCGUACGCAGGCGGCUUUGCAAGACAGGUGUGAAAUCCCCGGGCCUAACCUGGGAACUGCAUCCGAUACUGGAUGGCUUGAAUCCGGGAGAGGGAUGCAGAAUUCCAGGUGUAGCGGUGAAAUGCGUAGAUAUCUGGAGGAAUACCGGUGGCGAAGGCGGCAUCCUGGACCGGCAUUGACGCUGAUGAGCGAAAGCUAGGGGAGCAAACGGG